ACAGAGAGCAGAAAAGAAGCCCCUCCUCUUCUCCUCCUCGCGACACGCAUCAUUCUUCUUCCUCUCCCCCACGAGAUUCGAAUCUCGCGAGCAGUUUCUUCCUCCCCGUUUGGAUCGGAUUUGAGCGAGCGAGUGGUAGCGGCGGGGGAGUUUUCGCUUCCUUGUGCUGAAAAAAGGAGAAAAAAACACGUCAUUUUCGUUUUAGGGCGGCGGGCUCGUGUGGUUCCUUCGGGUUCUUUGAGCCAUGGAGGAGAGUUCUUGCGGCAGGGUGGAGUAGUGUAGUGGCAGAUCUUGGGGGGGGGGGGGGUGAGGCUUUUGCAGUGGCUGGUGUGAGUGAUUCUGGGCUUACUUGGGAGCUUGGUUGUUUCGUUUCGCCUCCCGAUUUGGUGGUGCUUUGAUGAAGAACCUAUUGAUUCUGGUUGGAUGAUUUUUGAGCGACUCCUGAUUGUUUUGUUGAUUCGUAUUUCAUUGAUUGAUUAGGGCUUAGGGAGAAAAAGAUAGUAUUUGUGGCUAUUUGUGAGCAAUUUUUGUUCUCCUCCACCUAGCCUAGUUAGUUGCUGUACCCGCUAUCUGUGAGCAGUGUUUGCUUGUGUUCUAAUUUUGGUAGAAAAAUAUCUUAAUUGGAUCUCGCUGUAGCAAAAAAAAAAAGAUUGGAUUUUGAGUGUGAUUUUUCGAUUCUUGUUGGAUCCGGCGAUUUUUAUCCGGAUCAAGAAGAGGGGGAGAAUUCUUGGCUUUCUCUUCCACUAGCGGCCAUGGGGCUGAGCCGCUUCUCCCACUGGAUAUGGCCUGGGAGUAGAACCCGGCGAGCUCGCGAUGCACCGGUGAGCAGCGCGGCCACGGCCAUGGCUGAGGCGCUGUUCCCGGACUCGCCGUCGGGGUUCCGGGAGCCGGAGGCUCUCAGGGUGCCGAGCUCCGGCGUGCGGCCGCGGAAGGGGGCGAGCCGGCGGCGCAGCAGCCGUGAGGAGGCCAGGGUCGACAGGGAACACGACAUGGUCAUCGUGCCAUCUGACGGCGGCGACGCGUACCUGUCCGACUCGGGCUCCGACGACUCCGACUGGUCCAUCGGCUGGCUCGAGCCGCAGGGGCCGGAGCUGCACAGCGAUGGGGACUCGGAGGGUAGCUUCGCCGUCCUUGUGCCGUGUUACCGCCGCGGCCGCCGCGUCGAGGAGCCUGGCCGCGGUAGGCUCGCCGACGACAACGUUUCCGUUGGUAGAUAAAUCAGUAUUGAGUUUGAUGGCUCAUUUGUACGGUUGCCAUGGAAAAAUCAUUUAGUUUGUGAGUUCUGUUGCCAAAAUCCUCUAAUGCAUGGUAGGAUGUGCUGUUUUGUCAAGUUCAGUUCUAGAUGGAAACCCUGAAUUCUCUGGAGAUCUGGUGAGAAGUACAUUUCCAUUACUCUAGUGUUAUCUGUUCUUGUAGUUCAUGAUUAAUUCUGUGUCAUGUGGUGUUGCUCUGCUGGUAGCGCCCACUUUAUCUCUAUGUUAGGAAGUUUUUGGCUUGGUCCUACACAUACGUCUUAGUCCUGGCUCAUUAUUGCCUCCUAAGUUAGGAAGGUCAUGCACCAAACAUGAGAGCUGCAAAUGAACAUCACCACACAAUGGUGGCAAGAAUUUUGUAGAGCGAUGGCUUUCUUCUCUUCCAAAUUGAUUACUUAUCCAUUCUUCUAUGGCUUUGACUUCUUUGGUAUUUUUAAGCGUCUCGUAUCUGUAAAUACAUCGAUGAAGACAUGAACCCCAAAAAACCAAAAAAAGAACCCAAAAAAGAAGAUUGAAAGUAGAGGAGCAGUGGCAUGAGGUUUCGACGUGAUGGUACUUUCAGGGUAAUAUUAUUUUCCAUAAUGCCACGUGCUGGCAACCAGCAAUUGAAUCAACUACGAAUUGUCAAGACUACUACUGAUCAAAUUGCUUAGAGAUGUUGAAUCUACCUGUAUGAAAUGGCAGUUUACCUCAUUUGUGUGGCUGAUAUUCUUCUGUACAUACAUGAACGCAGAAACAUUUGAGAUGAACUCCUAUGAAUUAAUCUGCAUUUCUUCUGUAAAUAAUAAACCAUCGCCGGUUUGGCGGUUUGUGAACCCCUGAAUAAACUCUAUUGUCUAUAAAAUAUAUUAUUUUUUUCACUAUA